rnacentral:rRNA from 1 species
AUUGAACGCUGGCGGCAGGCCUAACACAUGCAAGUCGAACGAGUGGCGGACGGGUGAGUAAUGUCUGGGAAACUGCCUGAUGGAGGGGGAUAACUACGGGAAACGGUAGCUAAUACCGCAUACCAUCGGAUGUGCCCAGAUGGGAUUAGCUAGUAGGUGGGGUAAAGGCUCACCUAGGCGACGAUCCCUAGCUGGUCUGAGAGGAGGACCAGCCACACUGGAACUUAGACACGGUCCAGACUCCUACGGUAGGCAGCAGGAGGGAAGAUGGCACAAUGGGCGAAAGCCUGAUGCAGCCAUGCAGCGUGUAUGAAGAAGGCCUUCGGGUUGUAAAGUACUUUCAGCGGGGAGGCGUUACCCGCAGAAGAAGCACCGGCUAACUCCGUGCCAGCAGCCGCGGUAAUAC